rnacentral:rRNA from 1 species
UACGGGGGGUGCGAGCGUUGUCCGGAAUUACUGGGCGUAAAGCGCGUGUAGGCGGUUGUUCAAGUCAGGUGUGAAAGCCUUGAGCUCAACUCAAGAAAUGCACUUGAUACUGGAUGACUAGAGGACCGGAGAGGAUAGUGGAAUUCCCAGUGUAGUGGUGAAAUACGUAGAGAUUGGGAAGAACACCAGUGGCGAAGGCGGCUAUCUGGACGGUUUCUGACGCUAAGACGCGAAAGCGUGGGGAGCAAACAGG